AGAGUUUGAUCAUGGCUCAGGAUGAACGCUGGCGGCGUGCAUAACACAUUCAAGUCGAACGGAGUGUAGCAAUACACUUAGUGGCGGACGGGUGAGUAACGCGUGAGCAACCUGCCUUUGCGUGGGGGAUAACACAGGGAAACUUGUGCUAAUACCGCAUAUUGAACGUUAACCGCAUGGUUGAAGUUUGAAAGAAUAAUUGCGCAAAGAUGGGCUCGCGUCCGAUUAGGUAGUUGGUGGGGUAACGGCCUACCAAGCCUGCGAUCGGUAGCCGGACUGAGAGGUUGUACGGCCACAUUGGAACUGAGAAACGGUCCAGACUCCUACGGGAGGCAGCAGUGGGGAAUAUUGGGCAAUGGGCGAAAGCCUGACCCAGCGACGCCGCGUGAGGGAAGACGGUCUUCGGAUUGUAAACCUUAGUUAGCAGGGAAGAAGAAAGUGACGGUACCUGCAGAGAAAGCCACGGCUAACUACGUGCCAGCAGCCGCGGUAAUACGUAGGUGGCAAGCGUUAUCCGGAAUUACUGGGUGUAAAGGGUGUGU
rnacentral:rRNA from 1 species